AAUUAAAAUUGGAUUCCUACUUGGAGUAGGAUUCCUAGAAAUCCUAAUUGGAUUAGGACUUCGGAUUCAAAUUGAGUCCUAAUUGGAUUAGGACUAAAAUUAAAUACAUCCUAAUAUGGAUUAGGGUUUCUUAAGUCACAAUUAAUUAUUAAUCUAAUGAAUCAAUAAGACUCCUAAUUGGAUUAGGAUUGAAGAGUUCAAUUGAGUCAAAAUUGAUUCAAGUUCUAAUUGGAUUAGGACUUACCUAGAUUGGAUCCAUUGGUUCACCCUUGGGCUAAGCCUAAUAGGAUUAGGGCUAGACCACAUUAGGGCAAUGCAAACCCUAAUGUGGACUAGGGUUUACCAAGAGGGAGGGGCGCAAGCCCCUCCCCCUUGAUCCAUUGGUGCGGCACAAGAGAAGGGGGCCGGCGCC
rnacentral:lncRNA from 1 species